rnacentral:lncRNA from 1 species
UUCUAUUCUUACUGUUAUCAGUUAGUAUAGACGGUUCCUGGCUUAGAAUGAUUCUCUGCUCAGCAAAUGGUGCGUAAUUAGCAUUUGAAUCAAAUUUCUUGUAGAAGUAAAAAACACAAAUUAAUGUAUUUGACAACUUUAUUCAGGAGCACAGUCUAUAUUAUCCGGCGUAAAUAACUUCGAGAUUUAUGUGGAAGUUUACUCUGCUGCUCGAUCUAUGCUAAUCGAUGUUCCAGUAUAUUUCAUAUUUAUAUUUAUUCGUGAGGCCUCGUCAUCGUUUAUAUUCACUAAAAGCACAGUCGCCUAAAUAUUUUAUAUGGCGAAAAAAUUGCGAAAAUUGGGGGAAAUAAUAUAUUUUUAGUAGCAUUAUUAUUUUAAAAUCUUAAGAGGUUGCUUGCAAAUUUAACUCUAAAAUGAGAAGUGUAUGACGAUCUAUAACGAAUAUAUACAUCCAUCAUGUGUGCAGAUACGACGGCGACUAUAUAGGGUCUGCCAUGAGUGCACUUUGUAUGCCCUGCAUGUGUGCACCCAGGAGGUCCUCCUGAGCGGUGUUUAGACGUACCGGGAAAAUCUUAUCUGAUUCAGGAUCAAUUCAUCGGUUACACUCCCCUGUCACCAGUGAUUCUUUUUUGCUGACAUUCUGAAAAAGUAUUGUGUAGUCCCUGUGUAAGUGUUGACUCUCAACUUGCACAUGUGAUUUUUUAACACUCCCCGGACUUCUGCAAAAAACAAUUAUUCAGUUCACUGAUUUAGAUGGAAGGUAAACGAACAGAAAGUCACAGGACAUUCCGACAAAAAGUCACAGGACAAAAAGUCAAACACAUGUCAAACUCAGGCAUAAAGUAACAAAGUUGAUAGGACAAAAAGUCACAAACACAAUUUGUUGACAAUUGAUUGAAUAUAAAUGAAAAAAGAUUUUGAAAUAUCUUCUUUUUAUUACAUAUAUUCAUUUUUAAUUUUAGGAAAUUGUUCAUAAUAUAAAAAAGAAGAUGUGGUAUGAUUGCCAAUGAGACAACUGUCCACAAGAGACCAAAAUGACACAGACAUUAACAACCAUAGGUCACCAAACAGCCUUCAACAAUGAGCAAAGCCCGAGGUAAAGCCCAUACCGCAUAGUCAGCUGUAAAAGGCAAUCAUACUAUAUCUUUUUUUUUAUAUUUACAUGUUAAAAAAAUGCGUGCAAAUGUAAUCAAAAGCUGCACACAAACGUAAUGAUUUUUGUGCGCAAAUGUAAUGGUAAUGUGCGCAAACCUAAUGCACUGAUUUAUUUGUUUUUAAUAAAUUUUAAUUUAAAGUUGCUACAUCAUGUUCAUGUAUAAAACUUCAAGAAAAAAUACAAAAAGAGUGUUUUCUUGUUCAAAGAAAAAUAAUCUCAAAACUAAAUUGUGACUUUUUGUCCUGUGACAGUCACAGUGUGUGACUUUUUGACUGUGACUUUCUGUCCUGCAUUCAGAUUGAAUAGGGGAGUUUGGUUGACCCCGCCUCCCUCUAUCUGAGACUACUAUCUCAGUGAUGAGCUUUAUGUUUCAUGUACAAAUGUAUUGUGCUUGUCAUAUAUGUAUGUCGGAUAAAAGCUCUACAGACCUUUAAUAUGUUGUAUUGUUAUAUGUAUAACCGACAAUAAAUAAAUAGCCCCUAACAAGUAAGAAUUAGGUUACUUCUUUUUGUUUUGACAUCUUGCAUGGGUUUUUAUAGCCCCGUAUUAAAAUUAUGCCCCCACUUUAAAAAAAGGGGGGUGGUAUAUACUGUUUUACCCCUGUCUGUCCAUCCAUCCUUGCGUCAGUCAGUCCGUCCGAUGAAUAUUUUUCGUCCCAUUUUCCUUAGGAACUACAAUAGAAGGAUUUCUGAAAUUUGGUUUCAGGGUUAAAUAAGUCAGCUAUACCGUGUGAUGCAUUUUCAGAUUCAUCACUCGACAACUUCCUGUUUUCCCAACACUUGUAUGAUUUUACACAUGAUAGCCAAGUUGAAAGUUGAAAACUAACAACCUAAUUUAUGUACAAAAAAAUUGAAAAACAGAUAUGUUACACAUAAACAAACGACAAUCACUGAAUUAUCGGAUCCUGACUUGGAACAGGCACAACCAUAACAAAUUGGCAGGGUAUAAGGAACUUUGAAAAUAUUUAGUUUUUGUGGUUUGGUCUAUUUUCCGGAUACUGUAAGCAAUAAGGCCCCUUUAUUUAGUGAAUGAAAUAAUUGUAAGAUGCACUUAGCUGUCUGUCAUAUUUUAUAUGAACAUGAUGAACUUGACCUCAUUUUCAUGCAUGGUUCAUUGGUCAAUGAAACACUGCAUUGUUUUGUCAGUUUAUCAUAUGUUUAAAGUUACAGGUAGAUUAUAUUUGGUAGAUAUGAAACAAUUGUAAGGUGUGCAUGUCUGAAUGGCAGAUUCAUAUAUAAACCAUGACCGCAUUUUAUUGUUCUUUGGUCAAUGAUAAGUUUUCUUGGUUUUGUCAUUUUAUCAGGCCACAUUUAAAAGAAUGUCUGUUUCCCCUCCCCGGGUCUACCCUUUGUAAACAGACCAGGAAGGCAGGUUUUUUUUAGCUCACCUGACCUGAAAGGUCAAGUGAGCUUUUCUCAUCACUUGGCGUUCGUCGUCUGUCGUCCUGCGUCCGUCGUCCGUCGUCCGUAAACUUUUACAAAAAUCUUCUCCUCUGAAACUACUUGGCCAAAUUCUACCAAACUUGGCCACAAUCAUCCUUGGGGUAUCUAGUUUAAAAAAAUGUGUGGCGUGACCUGUCAAACCAACCAAGAUGGCCGCCAUGGCUAAAAAUAGAACAUAGGGGUAAAAUGCAGUUUUUGGCUUAUAACUCAAAAACCAAAGCAUUUAGAGCAAAUCUGACAUGGGGUAAAAUUGUUGAUCAGGUCAAGAUCUAUCUGCCCUGAAAUUUUCAGACGAAUCGGACAACCUGUUGAUGGGUUGCUGCCUGUGAAAUGGUUAUUUUAAGGAAAUUUUGCAGUUUUUGGUUAUUAUCUUGAAUACUAUUAUAGAUAGAGAUAAACUGUAAAAGCAAUAAUGUUCAGCAAAGUAAGACCUACAAAUAAGUCAACAUGACCAAAAUUGUCAGUCGACCCCUUAAGGAGUUAUUGCCCUUUAUAGUCAAUUUUUAACAACUUUUCAUCAUUUUUUGUAACUUUUUUAAAAAUCUUCUUCUCUGAAACUACUUUGCCAAAUUUAACCAAACUUGGCCACAAUUAUCAUUGUGGUUUGUAGUUUAAAAAAUGUGUCCGAUGACCCAGCCUACCAAACAAAAUGGCCGACAUGGCUAAAAUUAGAACAUAGUGGUAAAAUGCAGGUUUUGCUUUAUAUCUUUGAAACUAAGACAUUUAGGGCAAAUCUUUCAAGAUUUAAAUGUCCAUCAGAAUAAGAUAUAUCCCCUCACAAAUUUUCAGUUGAAUUGGACAACCUGUUGUUGGGUUGCUGCCCUAAAAUUGGUGAUUUUAAGGUAAUUUUGCAGUUUUUGGUUAUUAUCUUGAAUACUAUUAUAGAUAGAGAUAAACUGUAGACAGCAAUAAUGUUCAGCAAAGUAAGAUCUACAAAUAAGUCAGCAUGAUCAAAAUUGUUAGAGGACCCCUUAAGGAGUUAUUGCCCUUUAUAGUCAAUAUUGAACAACUUUUCGUCAUUUUUGUAACUUGUAUAAAAAUCAUUUCUAAAACUACUUGGCCAAAUUUAACCAAACUUGGCCACAAUCAUAAUACUAGGGUAUCUAUUUUUAAAAAAAAAGUGUCUAAUGACCCCGCCUACCAACGAAGAUGGCCGACAUCAGUAAACACAUUAACAGGUGAGCGACACAGGCUCUUGAGAGCCUCUAGUUUUUUUUAACUGGAUGUGAUUGUCAUAGCAUGGUCACAUGAAUGGUUUGACUUGUCCAGUCCAGGCCACUUAUCAGUUGUUUGUGCUCAAUUUGAGUGUAUUUAUUUAGAUUAUCAAUCCUUCUGCUUUCAAGCACUUUCCAAAAAUGGAAACAAAUUAUUUUCAGGAAAAAAAUAAUUUCGAUUUUUUUGUGGAAAAUAAUUUUUUGACCCGGGCGCUUAUUUUUGACCCGUGUGGGGGGAGGGGAAACAAACAUAUUUUUAAUUUUGGCCUUAGAUUUUUUAAGCAUAGGUCUACUUGUUGUAUGGAAUGACUACAAGGUAUCAUAUAAAAAAAAGAUGUCUGCCUGCCAAGGUUAAUUUUACUGUGACCUCAUAUUCAUAGAAUAAUGAUAAUAUUCAUGAUAUUGAACAGCAAGAAUGAUGAGUAAGUUGAUGUUAUAUACAAAUAAGACAAAAUUUUCAGUUGCCUACUAAUUAUGUAAUACAUGUAGUAGUUAUUUUUGUCAUUAAAUGAUGUUUACCCUUUUAUGUGUAGGGCAAGAACAUGAAAGAUAAAGGGGAAACUAUAAACAGAAGAAAUUAUCAACAAAAUAAGAUUUACAGAGGUCAACAAAGCCUAAAUGGUAAGUCCACUGUUAUAAAAAUUUUUUUGUCCUUGAAUAAUAAUUAAAUAUUUAUUAAAAUAAGAUGUGGUAUGAUGAAAGAGAAAACUAUCCAUCAGAGUUCAAUUUAGUGGAUGUAAGCAUUGUAAUUACUUAUUAGAGGCCAUUGAUGACCUGUAAGUAAUGAGAAAACCCAUACCCUAUACAUGUUAUAGUAAUCUAUAAAAGUCAACACUAACCAAAUUUGAAACAGAGCAUCAAUUCAAACGUCAAAUAUACCAGACUAAUUUAUAAAAACAAAAAAUUAUGAAAAAUAAAAAUGACGGGUAUGAACCAACAUCAACCACUGAACUAUGUACAAGCUCCUGAUAUUAGACAGGUAUAAUAUGGCUGGGUUGAUAUAAAAAUAAGAAACACUUAGCAGUCUGAUUUCCAAUGAGACAUUUCUCCAAUAGAGAUCAAAUGACAUUUAAGGAGGCUCUAGGGUAUAACAAUUUCAGAAAAAUGUUUUAAUAUUUUUUUUUCAUAACUCAAUUUAUUUAUAUCUUUAUCAUAUGGUACACCAAAUCAUUCAAAACAAUCAAUUCGGUUUGGCCCCAGAUGACUUUUAAAAUGCAUAUAUCAUUGAAAAAGCUCCAAAUUAUCUCCCUUUGGUGCAAAAAUGCCAUUUUUUGGCAUUAAAAAUGUAAUAUCUUAUUUAACUCAUCGGUGGCCUAUAUUUUUUAUUAUAAUUUUAAAUAAGCUGUACUUUAACUAAACUAUUAUAAAAUUUAAGCGAUUUCUGUAAUUUAGUACUUGAAUAUUUAAAUGAAAGUUUAUCAUAUUAAUCAUAAACAUGAUAAAAUAGCCAUUUUAUUGAUCUCUUCACUGAUAAUUUUUGAGUUUGUGUAUUUGUAGGUCAGAAAUCUGGAUUUUCAUGGUCAUCAUUCACAGAUCAAUACUGAACGGAAAACUUAAAGCUGAUAUUUUUCUCCAUAGUGCGACUUUUUUUAUUAAUUUGAAAUGGAACAUGUUUUUUCCUACAUUUAUUUGAAAGAGGAAAUUUCAACAUGAUGACUAUAAACAAAAAGGAGUCAUAUCAUCACGAUCAUUGAUGCACAAGAACUUGAUCAUAUAAAUACAACAAUGUAAUUAUCAAUUGAAAGAUGGAACGAAUGAACAAGAUAUUAGAAUGUUGUUGUCCAAAUAAACUUGCUUUGUCUUCUCAUUUGAAUCUCUCCAUUCAAUAAAGAUGUACAGAGGAAGAUCUUUGAAGAACAGAUUGAAAAAAUGUUUUGUCUAAGAAUUGCAGGAAUAUUCUAGUGAAUGAAAUUAUUUAUUGACUUCACUCUUAUAUAGUGGACUGAAUAAUUGUACAUAGCAAGUUGUGAAUAAAGAAAGCAAAAACUUUAACAAAAAGUGUUUAUAUUAUAAAUUUGCAAAUAUAAGCAUACUAUUAUGUACACCACAAAGGUAUAUAUAAUUCAAAUUGUUUGCCUAUACAAGUAUUGCAAUGAACCUAUAACAAAGAAAAUCUUACCUCAUGAAAAGAGUGAACUAUUCAGUCAGAAUAUGAAAUAUUUUUUCAGUUCUAUUUUUCAUAAUAGAAUAAACAAGAC